ACUCGAGUGGCGAACGGGUGAGUAACACGUGGGUGAUCUGCCCUGCACUUCGGGAUAAGCUUGGGAAACUGGGUCUAAUACCGGAUAGGAGCCAUCUUUAGUGUGGUGGUUGGAAAGUUUUUCGGUGUAGGAUGAGCCCGCGGCCUAUCAGCUUGUUGGUGGGGUAAUGGCCUACCAAGGCGGCGACGGGUAGCCGGACUGAGAGGCUGGUCGGCCACAUUGGGACUGAUAUACGGCCCAG
rnacentral:rRNA from 1 species